GGAGAAACAAAAGUUUGUUGCACCAUCAUCAGCCUGCAAUCCACUUUUCAGCCUACAGAAAACUCCUGUAUAAACAGGGCAUUACGAAUUCUAGCUGACCAAAUUAUGGAGGCUGAAGCCAAAUACCCCGAUUCACUGGUCAUUAUUUUGAGAUAUCUAAACAAGGCAAACUUAAGAUGACACAACAGUGAUCGAUCUCAUUCGAGAAAAUGAUGAAUCCGCAUACAGACGGGAGGUUGAACAACUAGCCUCAUGGUGCGACCAGAACAAUCUGGAACUGAACACACUCAAAAAUGUAGAAAUGAUAGUGGACUUUAGGAGAAACCCUUCCAUACUUCCACUUCUUACAAUACUAGACAACACACUAUCAACAGUAGAGACCUUCAAAUUUCUAGGUUCUACCAUAUCUCACCACCUAAAAUGGACACCCAACGUAAAAAAUGUCAUAAAAAAAGUACAACAAAGAAUGUUCUUUUUACGCCAACUCAGAAAGCUCAAACUGCCAAGGAGCUGCUGAUCCAGUUCUACAGAGGAAUUAUUGAGUCUGUCAUCUGCACCUCUAUAACUGUCUGGUUUGGUUCUGCAACUCAACAAGACAGACACAGACUUCAGAGGAUAAUUAGAACUGCAGAAAAAAAUAUUGCUACCAACCUAACUUCCACUGAGGACCUGUAUACUGCACGAAUCAAGAAGAGGGCCAUGAAAAUAUUUACAGAUCCCUCACAUCUUGGAAAUGAAAUGUUUCAACUCCUACCCUCAAAACGACGCUAUAGACCACUGCACACCAGAACAACUAGAAACAAGAACAGUUUUUUCCCAAAUGCCAUCACCCUGUUAAACAAAUAAUUCCCUCAAUACUGUCCAACUAGUUAUUAAGUCUGCAGUACUAUUAAUCUUCUCAUUGUUCCUAUCACCCAUCUCCUCCCACUUAUGACUAUAUGACUGUAAACUUGUUGCUGGUAUCCUUAAGAUUUAUAUUGACUGUUUCCCUAUGACUAUCAUUAAGUGUUGUACCUUAUGA